AGGGUGUUCAUGUGUACAGGAAAUCACAGAGAGAAACAGGGACAAAGAAGUAACGUGGGAGAUGUUGGGUGUACACAUACCCUUUGUAUUUCAUCAUCCAACAUGGGGUACAGAUUAUAUGAAUAAGAAGCAGUUCUGAUUCAAAGAAGGCAGGCAACUUGGCAGUUGCAACUGCUCUCCUUGUCUGGCAGUCUCCUCACAGGGAAGAUGUCCAGAUCCAGCCUGCUGCUUCACACAGUGGACACUAGCCUAGCAGCCCUUCCGCACCAACAGUUGAGAAUGACAACAGCACAGCAAGCAUUACACGGUGAAAUACACAGCAUCCAGAAGUGUUAAUGUCCCCCACCCCUACCCCCAUGCAGGAUAACAAAAGAAUUGCAACAUGAAAUACACAGGAAUGACAUCACAUCCAACAUGCAAUAAUCCACAGCAUUCAGAAUGGAAUCCAACAGGAAUAGCAAGCAACAUAAAGAAAACCAACAUGAAACCCAGUGUCCACAGCAUCAUAAGUGUUAUCCCCUCCUCCCCCCCACACAUAGAAUGACCACCACAUGCAUUGCAACAAGCUGUUUGUGUGAGUGUGUUAAAAGAAACGGGGAACUCACCCUGAAGUCAUCUUCUGCUGCAGUGAUUCUCAAUCCCAGACCUCCUCCUUUUCUGUCUUCAGCUGGAGUCCAGGGAACUGCUGCCUGUGCCGAGUAGUCCCUGGCAUUACUCAACAGCCAGGGUUAGGGUAGCUGCUGGGCACACAGGGAGGGGAGCACCUAGCCACUCAAACCAUUAUAAAUCAAAAGAGUUGAAGCAACAAGCACUGAACUGAUCCAGCACAGAUCAAAGAAGGAAUCUCUUCCUCUCAGCACAGUCCUGAGUCCACCUUCAGUCCACUCCUUCAGCAUCAGCAGACACAGACACUACAGCAGCAGUUCUCCUCUAUCCACGAGGCAGAGGGAAAUGGCUGCCUCAGGACACCCCUUAAGUUCAUUCUUGAAAGUCCCUCCAUCUGCCCCCCACCCUCCCUUGUCCCUCCCCACAGCCAAUGCUACCACAGUUACCCCUGGCAACACAGGAAUUGUAGGAUAACAAGCCAAUCAAGAAGCAAGAGGGGAUCACCAACCAAUUGUUACACACUGCAAGGAACCAACCAGAGUUGGCAGAGAAGCUCAGAGGGAUAUGAUGCAAUGGCAAAGGAAAACUUGAAUCUCAAAUCGAUUCAAAUUAAAUUUCGGGAGUUUCAAUUCGAGUUCUGUUUUGGCCAGGGGUGCCAGGACAGAUUUGUUUCAAGCUUAUAUAAACCAAAUUCGAGUUGAAUUGAUUCAACCUCGAAAUGGUUUGCACAUCCCUACUGUGAACUGCAUUUUCAGUAGGCAUAAUAUCAUGCCACACAUAGCUAGUGUGGAUACACCUUUAAUUGUACACAUUUGAAAUGUUCCUUUCCAAGCUAUAGAAUAUAUUUCCUGUGUGCUUAAGUUUUAGAAUUCUAUACAGAGUCAGCCCUACUAGUCAUUCUGGAGACAUUCUGGAGUUUUAUGGUGUUCUCAGCAAAGUUUAGUUGCACAUGCUAGCAUAUCUGUUUCAGAGAAUGUUGAAAAUAGACAUUAUGCAGAUGUUAAAAUUCAGAAUAUGGGCAAUAUAUUUAUUUACCAGGGUUUCCCACUCCAGAAUAAAUUCAUCUUGCCUGAGUCAUAUUUCUCACUCAAAGUAUCAAAUGCCACAACAGCAAACUCCACAACGGAAUACUUGCUCAACUGGAAAACUUCAAUUAAUUUUGAAGCACCUUUAAUUACCAUGAUUGGUGAUGUACUCCUCAUACAGUUUUCUAAUUCUCAUGAACAUUAUUCAGUUAGUAAUAAUAAUUGCUUUAUACAUAUUUAAACAACUUCACAAUAAUUAAAUAAUUAAACAAUAUUACAUGAGUCAAGGAAGUUAUUCCAUGAGCAAAAGAAACAUAUUGCUUUAACAAAUUAAAAUAUAAAGUAGGAUAGAAUAGCUUUAAAAAACCACCCACAAAAACACAACCCUAAAGUGCUAAUGAAUAAGCAAUUGAGAAUUAUUGAUUCAAGAUUUGAUCUACUAAGGAAAUUUGAAAUCGGGACUAUAGAAAAGUAGCAGGAAGGAAGUGCCAGCACCAUAACAUCUGAUUACUUGUUCUUUCAGGAUAUGAAAGUCAUGAUUGGGAUGGGCUACACCAAAUUUUUGACAGUGUACAUUUUCAAGGUGAAAGGGCACAUUUUGGGGUGAGGUUUCAUAACCUCCAAUCAUUUUCACCUUUUUGCAUGGUAUUAGCUGCCUGUUCAUAUCUGCUUCUUUCCCAGGUCUGCAGCUUUGAUGCCAUAUUCAAAACAAAGGAACACCCCCCCCCAAA